rnacentral:rRNA from 1 species
CCUACGGGUGGCUGCAGUGAGGAAUAUUGGUCAAUGGGCGCGACCCUGAACCAGCAAAGUAGCGUGAAGGAUGACUGCCCUACGGGUUGUAAACUUCUUUUAUAAAGGAGUAAAGUGAGGCACGUGUGCCUUUUUGAAUGUACUUUAUGAAUAAGGAUCGGCUAACUCUGUGCCAGCAGCCGCGGUAAUACGGAGGAUCCGAGCGUUAUCCGGAUUUAGUGGGGUUAAAGGGAGCGUAGAUGGGUUGUUAAGUCAGUUGUGAAAGUUUGCGGCUCAACCGUAAAAUUGCAAUUGAUACUGGCAGUCUUGAGUACAGUUGAGGUAGGCGGAAUUCGUGGUGUAGCGGUGAAAUGCUUAGAUAUCACGAAGAACUCCGAUUGCGAAGGCAGCCUACUAAACUGCCACUGACAUUGAUGCUCGAAAGUGUGGGUAUCAAACAGGAUUAGAUACCCGAGUAGUC